rnacentral:rRNA from 1 species
GACGAACGCUGGCGGUGUGCUUAACACAUGCAAGUCGAACGGUAAGGCCCUUUCGGGGGUACACGGGUGGCGAACGGGUGAGUAACACGUGAGUAACCUGCCCUCAUCUCUGGGAUAACAGUCGGAAACGGUUGCUAAUACUGGAUAUGAGCUUGCAAGGCAUCUUGUGGGUUGGAAAGAUUUUUUUGGUUGGGGAUGGACUCGCGGCCUAUCAGCUUGUUGGUGAGGUAGUGGCUCACCAAGGCUUCGACGGGUAGCCGGCCUGAGAGGGCGACCGGCCACAUUGGGACUGAGAUACGGCCCAAACUCCUACGGGAGGCAGCAGUGGGGAAUAUUGCACAAUGGACGGAAGUCUGAUGCAGCAACGCCGCGUGCGGGAUGACGGCCUUCGGGUUGUAAACCGCUUUCAAUUGUGACGAAGCUUUUUGUGACGGUAGCAGUAGAAGAAGCACCGGCUAACUACGUG